rnacentral:misc_RNA from 1 species
UGUGGGAGCGAGCCUGCUCGCGAUGGCGGCAUGUCAGGCGAUUGUGUGGUCGACUGAUCCACCGCUAUCGCGAGCAGGCUCGCUCCCACA